rnacentral:sRNA from 1 species
UUGACUGCACUAGAAAUAAAGCCUAUUCAUCAACCGAACAAGUGCAUCCCAAGCAGGAAAGUACACUUCCCCCCCAACUUGCUGUCAAUGUGCCUCAAGGCAGUUUUGGUGGGACCACCGCUAAGGUGACAGGGAUGUUUAUUUUCCGUCUUCAAUCAAUUCUUGGCCUCU